GAUGAACGCUAGCUACAGGCUUAACACAUGCAAGUCGAGGGGCAGCGGUAUCGAAAGCUUGCUUUCGGUAGCCGGCGACCGGCGCACGGGGGAGUAACGCGUAUCGAACCUGCCUCAUACUCGGGAAUAGCCUUGCGAAAGUAAGAUUAAUGCCCGGGGUUUUCAGAGUCCCGCAUGAGGCUUUGAAAAAAGAUUUAUCGGUAUGAGAUGUCGAUGGGUUCCAUUAGCUUGUUGGCGGGGUAACGGCCCACCAAGGCAGCGAUGCGUAGGGGUUCUGAGGGGAAGCUCCCCCGCAUUGGAACCGCGGCACAGUCCCCAACCCUACGCAGGGCAGCAGAAUGUAAGAUUGUUCAAUGGAGGGAAGCCUGAACCAGCCACGUGGCGUGAAGGAAGCCGGCCCUCCUGGUUGUAAACUGCUUUUAAUUGGGAAUAAAACGGGGCUCGUGAGCCCCCUUGCAUGUACCAUCAGAAAAAGGACCGGCUAAUUCCGUG
rnacentral:rRNA from 1 species